AGAGUUUGAUCAUGGCUCAGAUUGAACGCUGGCGGCAGGCCUAACACAUGCAAGUCGAGCGGAUGAGAAGAGCUUGCUCUUCGAUUCAGCGGCGGACGGGUGAGUAAUACCUAGGAAUCUGCCUGGUAGUGGGGGACAACGUUUCGAAAGGAACGCUAAUACCGCAUACGUCCUACGGGAGAAAGCAGGGGACCUUCGGGCCUUGCGCUAUCAGAUGAGCCUAGGUCGGAUUAGCUAGUUGGUGAGGUAAUGGCUCACCAAGGCUACGAUCCGUAACUGGUCUGAGAGGAUGAUCAGUCACACUGGAACUGAGACACGGUCCAGACUCCUACGGGAGGCAGCAGUGGGGAAUAUUGGACAAUGGGCGAAAGCCUGAUCCAGCCAUGCCGCGUGUGUGAAGAAGGUCUUCGGAUUGUAAAGCACUUUAAGUUGGGAGGAAGGGCAGUAAGCGAAUACCUUGCUGUUUUGACGUUACCGACAGAAUAAGCACCGGCUAACUCUGUGCCAGCAGCCGCGGUAAUACAGAGGGUGCAAGCGUUAAUCGGAAUUACUGGGCGUAAAGCGCGCGUAGGUGGUUCGUUAAGUUGGAUGUGA
rnacentral:rRNA from 1 species